rnacentral:rRNA from 1 species
AUUGAACGCUGGCGGCAUGCCUUACACAUGCAAGUCGAACGGCAGCACGGGUGCUUGCACCUGGUGGCGAGUGGCGAACGGGUGAGUAAUAUAUCGGAACGUACCUUAUUGUGGGGGAUAACGCAGCGAAAGCUGUGCUAAUACCGCAUAAUCCCUAAGGGGGAAAGCGGGGGACCGUAAGGCCUCGCGCAAUUAGAGCGGCCGAUACCUGAUUAGCUAGUUGGUCAGGUAAAGGCUCACCAAGGCAACGAUCAGUAGCUGGACUGAGAGGACGGUCAGCCACACUGGGACCUAGCAAGGGCACAGACUCAGAAGGGAGGCAGCAGUGGGGAAUUUUGGACAAUCGGGGCAAAAAGGAGCCAGCAAGGGCGCGUGAGUGAAGACUGACUUCGGGUUGUAGAGCUCUUUGGGACGGGAAGAAAAAGCAGCUCUAACACAGUGGGCGAAUGAAGGGACAUGAAGAAUAAGCAACGGCUAAAUGCGUGCCAGCCGCCGCGGUAA